CCUUCUGCCAUGAUUGUGAGGCCCCUGCAGCCAUGUGGAACUGUCAGCCCAUUAAACCCCUUUGUUCUUUAUAAAUUGCUCAGACUCAGGUAUUUCUUCAUAGCUGUAUAAAAAUGGAUGAAUACAGGCACCAUCCAAUUGGUUGAGAGCCCAGAUAGAAUAACAAGGAAGAGGAAAGGUGAAUUAUCUCCUUCUGAAGUGGAAACAUCCUUCUUCUCCUGCCCUUGACAUCAGAACUUCAGGGUCUCAGACCUUUGGCCUCACAAUCAGAGUUACACC
rnacentral:lncRNA from 10 species